AGCGCGGGAGCCCCGGCGCGUCCCAACCGGCUGCACCAUGCCGGCAGUUUAGGAUCCAAAGCUUCUCUACUUGGGGUUUUUUUUUUCUUUCUUCCUUCCUUCCUUUUCUUUCUUUUUUAAGAGGGAGAACCCCUGGUAGUGGGCAGCCUGGCACGCACGCAUCCGCCUUCAUACUCCGACAAAAAGCAGUUGCACUUUGACUCCUGACAGCUCUACCUCAAGCCUGAGAGAACUCGGCGGCGCUCCCCCCCCCCCCACCACCUCCGAAAACCCGAGCUCGCCGCGUCUCUCCUCUCCGGCUCCGUCGCGGUUUUAUUUAUUUAUUUCCGUUCCCGCCUCCGUUCCCGGUGACCUUCACUCUUCCGCGGGCUCCGAGCCGAACAGUGGCUUUCUGGUCUGCCUGAGACUCCUUUCCGUCGCCUGGGGAGCUGCGGUGGCGCUGCUCCGCCCCACGCCCCUGGGACUCCCUGACUACACAGCCCAUCCAGGCGCCCCGGGCCUCUCCACAGCCUGGUUUUCCUGGUUUUGAUAUUUUUUUUCCUCCCCCUCUCGUGCGGGUUUUGGCUUGCACGGCCGAGGUGUGUCUCCUCUCUUUGGAGGGGCUGGGGAGCUGGGACUGGUUGUCUUUGGGAGUAAAUCCCCUUGGCUCUCUCUACUGGGCUCCGUCUCCUCCGGGCCUCACCCGACCAAACCAAAGACCAUGGUGCACUGUGCCGGCUGCAAAAGGCCCAUCCUGGACCGCUUCCUCUUGAACGUGCUGGACAGGGCCUGGCAUGUCAAGUGCGUCCAGUGCUGUGAAUGUAAAUGCAACCUGACCGAGAAGUGCUUCUCCCGGGAAGGCAAGCUCUACUGUAAAAACGAUUUCUUCCGAUGUUUCGGUACCAAAUGCGCGGGCUGCGCGCAGGGCAUCUCCCCGAGCGACCUGGUCCGGAGAGCGCGGAGCAAAGUGUUUCACCUAAACUGCUUCACCUGCAUGAUGUGUAACAAGCAGCUUUCCACCGGCGAGGAGCUCUACAUCAUAGACGAGAACAAGUUCGUCUGCAAAGAGGAUUACCUAAGCAACAGCAGUGUCGCCAAAGAGAAUAGCCUCCACUCGGCCACCACCGGCAGUGACCCGAGUUUGUCUCCGGAUUCUCAAGACCCGUCGCAGGACGAUGCCAAGGACUCGGAGAGUGCCAACGUGUCAGACAAGGAAGGUGGUAGCAAUGAGAAUGACGAUCAGAACCUAGGCGCCAAGCGGAGGGGACCUCGCACUACGAUCAAAGCCAAGCAGCUAGAGACGUUGAAGGCCGCGUUUGCUGCUACGCCCAAGCCCACUCGCCACAUCCGGGAGCAGCUGGCUCAGGAGACUGGCCUCAACAUGCGGGUCAUCCAGGUCUGGUUCCAGAACCGGCGCUCCAAGGAACGCAGGAUGAAGCAGCUGAGCGCGUUGGGCGCCCGACGCCACGCCUUCUUCCGAAGUCCCCGCCGGAUGCGGCCGCUGGUGGACCGCCUGGAACCGGGGGAGCUCAUCCCCAACGGCCCCUUCUCCUUUUACGGAGAUUACCAGAGCGAGUACUACGGUCCCGGGGGCAACUACGACUUCUUCCCGCAAGGCCCCCCGUCCUCGCAGGCGCAGACGCCCGUGGACCUACCUUUCGUACCUUCGUCCGGGCCGUCUGGAACGCCCCUGGGCGGCCUGGAGCACCCGCUGCCCGGCCACCACCCGUCGAGCGAGGCGCAGCGCUUCACCGACAUCCUGGCGCAUCCUCCAGGGGACUCGCCCAGCCCGGAGCCCAGCCUGCCCGGGCCUCUGCACUCCAUGUCGGCGGAGGUCUUCGGGCCCAGCCCACCCUUCUCAUCGCUGUCGGUAAACGGUGGGGCGACCUACGGGAACCACCUGUCCCAUCCCCCUGAAAUGAACGAGGCGGCCGUGUGGUAGCGGGGUCUCCCAUGGUCCGAAGAGUUCGUGAUUGUACAGAAACGAACUUUUAUUUAAGAAAAUAAAAUAGAGAGGAGGAGAGAGAGAGAGAGAGAGAGAGCAAAAAAAAGAAGAAGAAAAAAUAAACCCCAUAAAAAGCAAACCUCCUGCACCACUUUUCUCCAGUCUCGAAGACCCUUCUCGGUAUGGAGAGACCAGGUGGGAAAAGGUGGAGGGGGGGGGGGGGACAGGGACAUAAAAUAGGAUCCAAAUUCGACUCGAGCGGGACUGGGAUCCGUGUCCUGGCUGCAAAACUGGAGGACCCGAAGGGCAAGGCAGAGCUUUCCUCUCUGCCCACCCGGACCCGGCUCGCUGGAUGGACUCCGAGGGUCUGUGCCCCCUGGCCGGAGAAUGGCCCGAAAGAUGUCUACGGAGGCCGCAGGCGGGCAGAGCAAUUGGUGAUGCCAGGCGCUGAGGGAGGGAGGCCGCGAGGCCGCGCAGCCCGGCCGGGGAGAUGAAGUGGUCGAUCGGAGGCCGCUCCCGGUACAGCCGGGAGGGUUUUCUAGCUCUGGGAUAGCUCUUGUUAGUGUUGUCUCAGAGUUUCAUCCACCACAGCGACAACAAACUCUUAUAGCUUCAGAAACACCGACCUGCUGUGCAUCAGGUGGGACUCUCUAUAUAUAUAUUUUUUGUCUAUCUGAGUUUUUGGUUUCUGUUUUUGCCAAAAUUACAAAAUUCUAAAUGGUAAGCCCUCAGUAUCAACUAUUCUACCUUCACAAAGCUACACACACACACACACACACACACACACACACACACACACACGGGACAGGUCUCCAGUUAGACCUCUCAGUAAAAUGACUUGAACAUCAGCUAUACAAGAAAAGUAUUCUACUUUCACACACAAAGGUUAA